rnacentral:rRNA from 1 species
AGAGUUUGAUCCUGGCUCAGGACUAACGCUGGCGGCGUGCCUAACACAUGCAAGUCGAACGGUUUCUUUUUGGUAGCAAUAUUAAAAAGAGAUAGUGGCGAACGGGUGAGUAACACGUAGGAUAAUCUGCCUUUCAGACGGGGACAACUCAGGGAAACUUGUGCUAAUACCCGAUGAGACCACAGCAUGGGAUUGUCGUGAUCAAAGGUAUGCGAAAGCUUACGCUGAAAGAUGAGUCUGCGUCCUAUCAGCUAGUUGGUGGGGUAAUGGCCUACCAAGGCGAAGACGGGUAGCCGGCCUGAGAGGGUGAACGGCCACACUGGGGCUGAGACACGGCCCAGACUCCUACGGGAGGCAGCAGUGAGGAAUUUUCCGCAAUGGGCGCAAGCCUGACGGAGCGACGCCGCGUGAGGGAUGACGGCUUACGGAAAGUAAACCUCUUUUAUUAAGGAAAAACGUUAAUUUACGAAUAAUAAGUUAGCUCGGGCUAACUACGUGCCAGCAGCCGCGGU